GCCAGGGCCGAGCAGGCCGCGUCCCCGGAUGGAGGCCAGCGCCAUUUAGACAACCGUGAGCCGCAGCUGCAGGGCUGGUUUGUCGCUGGUGCUAUGGGGCGCCUAUCGCGGAUGCUGUUGCUCGCCCUGCUGGUGUUCCCCGCCGCUGUGCUGCUCGGCGGCGCCCGCCGCGGCCCAGGUGCAGGCUUACUUGUUGCAGCUCAAGAUGCUACAGAAGAUGAGGAAGCUGUGGAAGAUACUGUAGUUGAAGAUGAAGAUGAUGAAGCAGAAGUUGAAGAAGAUGAGCCUACAGACUUGACAGAAGAGAAAGAGGAAGAAGACUUGUCAGGCGAACCUAAAGCCUCACCUAGUGCUGAUACAACCAUCUUAUUUGUGAAAGGUGAAGACUUUCCAGCAAACAACAUUGUAAAAUUUCUGGUAGGCUUCACCAAUAAGGGUACAGAGGAUUUUAUUGUUGAGUCUCUAGAUGCUUCUUUCCGUUACCCUCAAGACUACCAGUUUUAUAUCCAGAACUUCACAGCUCUCCCACUGAAUACAGUAGUUCCACCACAGAGACAAGCCACGUUUGAGUACUCUUUCAUCCCAGCUGAGCCUAUGGGUGGCCGUCCUUUUGGACUAGUUAUCAAUCUAAACUACAGAGAUGUAAAUGGCAAUGUGUUCCAAGAUGCUGUCUUCAAUCAAACAGUUACAAUUAUUGAAAAAGAAGAUGGGCUGGAUGGAGAAACGAUCUUCAUGUAUAUGUUCCUUGCUGGACUUGGUCUACUUGUCAUUGUUGGCCUACAUCAAUUAUUAGAAUCCAGGAAGAGGAAGAGACCAGUACAGAAAGUAGAGAUGGGAACAUCAAAUCAGAAUGAUGUUGAUAUGAGCUGGAUUCCUCAAGAAACUUUAAAUCAAAUCAAUAAAGCUUCACCAAGGCGGUUGCCCCGCAAGAGGGCACAGAAAAGAUCGGUGGGAUCUGAUGAGGACUGAGCAUCUGAGCCAAUGAGUUGAGCAAUACCUGCAAAUCAUGUCACCAUAUUGUGUUUGAAGCAAUGUCUAAGAAAGAAUCCCGCGAGGACUUAAGAAGCAGAUGCUCAAAUGCUCUACAAUUCCCUGGCAUCUAGAACUGGAUACACAACUCAGAUGAUUCUUUGGCUCAUCAUCCUGGGAAAUGUAUUUUAUUCAAAAGAAAGCAUUCAAAAUGCAACUAAGGCAGCUCCAACAAGCUAAAACAAAGGAUUUCUUUUCUUUCUUUCUUUUUUUUUUUUUUUGACACAUGCAUGUGGCUUUCAAAUACAUCCUGAAGAUUUCACAGCCAUAUACAUUUAUGCAAAAAUAAAACUAUAAUGGCAGAAACCUACUUCAUUUAUACAGAAAAUGAGUGAUACACUGUUAAUCACCACAAUGUGCUGUAAGAAAGAUGCUCACUUAUGCGAUCAUGGGGCUACAAAGACCUCUGACCUAACACCUGCACAGGAAAAUCAGCACCAAUAUACUUUUUUUCUUUUUUUUUUUUUGUCUUCAGUUGCUGUUUUGAGAAACUGCAGUUACAGAAAAAGCACCAUUUCAGAGGGUUUUGACUACUAGAAAACUCAAUGGCAAAUGGAACAUGAACAUUCAAAGUGCUACAAUUAUCUCUAAUUCAAACUCAGUCCAACUGAAGGAAGAGAAACAGUAAUACUAUUUACACCGAUAAACUCUGGCUGGUAUGUUGUCCUCUAAUAGAAAAGUUUGAAAGCAAGUUACAAUAAACCCACAAGAAAAGCCACGUCCAUUUUGUAACCUAUAAUUUUUAAAUACAACAUUUUAUUGCUUAGAUGGUUUGAUACAGAACAACUUUUACUUUUAUUUUGAAUUUGGAAGUACUGUACAACUGAAUAAAAAGAGGAAUAAAAGUACCAAAACAAA